rnacentral:rRNA from 1 species
UGGUCUGCUAACUAGCGACACGUACUCUGGUAUGUGGCUCGCUUCUUAGAGAGACUGUGUGCGUUGCAGCACACGGAAGCUCGAGGCAAUAACAGGUCUGUGAUGCCCUUGGAUGUUCUGGGCCGCACGCGCGCUACAAUGUCACGGCCAACGAGUAUCCACUGGAUAACCUUGGCUGAGCAGCCUGGGGAAUCUGCAGCCCGUGACGUGCUGGGGAUCGUCCUUUGCAAUUAUCGGACGUGAACGAGGAAUUCCUUGUAAGCGCAUGUCAUCAGCAUGUGCUGAAUCUGUCCCUGCCCUUUGUACACACCGCCCGUCGCU